rnacentral:rRNA from 1 species
ACCACGGAGGGUUUGAUCCUGGCUCAGAACGAACGUUGGCGGCGUGGAUUAGGCAUGCAAGUCGCGCGAGAACGUCACCUUCGGGUGGCUAGUACAGCGGCGAACGGGUGAGUAACACGUGGGGAAUCUGCCCUCGAGUUGGGAAUAACACUCCUAACGGGGUGCUAAUACCGAAUAACACGGCCUGGCCGCAUGACCGGGUCGUCAAAGCUGGCCUCUGCUUGCAAGCUGGCGCUCGAGGAUGAUCCCGCGCCCCAUUAGCUAGUUGGUGAGGUAACGGCCCACCAAGGCUCCGAUGGGUAGCUGGUCUGAGAGGAUGGUCAGCCACACUGGGACUGAGACACGGCCCAGACUCCUACGGGAGGCAGCAGUCGAGAGGCUUCGGCAAUGGGCGAAAGCCUGACCGAGCGACGCCGCGUGAGGGAUGAAGGUCGUAAGAUCGUAAACCUCUGUCGGGGGGGAAGAACCACCGGGUGCGAAUACCACUUCGGUCUGACGUUACCCCCGAAGGAAGCUCCGGCUAACUCCGUGCCAGCAGCCGCGGUAACACGGGGGGAGCAAACGUUGUUCGGAAUCACUGGGCGUAAAGGGCGCGCAGGCGGCCCGGCAAGUGAGACGUGAAAGGCUCUGGCUCAACCAGGGAACUGCGUCUCAUACUGCCGGGCUUGAGGACGGGAGAGGAGACGGGAAUUCUCGGUGUAGCGGUGAAAUGCACUGAUAUCGGGAAGAACACCAGUGGCGAAGGCGCGUCUCUGGCCCGUUCCUGACGCUCAGGCGCGAAAGCUGGGGGAGCAAACAGGAUUAGAGACCCUGGUAGUCCCAGCUGUAAACGGUGGGCACUAGGUGUGGGAGGCAUCGACCCCUUCCGUGCCGCAGCUAACGCAUUAAGUGCCCCGCCUGGGGAGUACGACCGCAAGGUUGAAACUCAAAGGAAUUGACGGGGGCCCGCACAAGCGGUGGAGCAUGUGGUUUAAUUCGAUGCAACGCGAAGAACCUUACCUGGGCUUGACAUGCACCGGACGGGUGUGGAAACACACUUUCCCUUCGGGGUCGGUGCACAGGUGCUGCAUGGCUGUCGUCAGCUCGUGUCGUGAGAUGUUGGGUUAAGUCCCGCAACGAGCGCAACCCUUGCCCUUAGUUGCCAGCACUUCGGGUGGGCACUCUAGGGGGACUGCCGCCGAUGAGGCGGAGGAAGGUGGGGAUGACGUCAAGUCCUCAUGGUCCUUAUGUCCAGGGCUACACACGUGCUACAAUGGCCGGUACAGUGGGUUGCGAUACCGCGAGGUGGAGCCAAUCCUCAAAGCCGGUCUCAGUUCGGAUUGUAGUCUGCAACUCGACUACAUGAAGCCGGAAUCGCUAGUAAUCGCUGAUCAGCAGGCAGCGGUGAAUAUGUUCCCGGGCCUUGUACACACCGCCCGUCAAGCCACGAAAGUCGGCAGUACCCGAAGUCACUGGCCCAACCGCAAGGAGGGAAGUGCCUAAGGUAAGGCCGGCGAUUGGGGCUAAGUCGUAACAAGGUAGCCGUACCGGAAGGUGCGGCUGGAUCACCUCCUUU